UACGAAGGGGGCUAGCGUUGCUCGGAAUCACUGGGCGUAAAGCGCACGUAGGCGGCUUGUUAAGUCAGGGGUGAAAUCCUGGAGCUCAACUCCAGAACUGCCUUUGAUACUGGCGAGCUUGAGUCCGGGAGAGGUGAGUGGAACUGCGAGUGUAGAGGUGAAAUUCGUAGAUAUUGGGUGGAACACCGGUGGCGAAAGCGGCUACUCUGGCCCGGAUCUGACGCUGAGGCGCGAAAGCGUGGGGAGCAAACAGGG
rnacentral:rRNA from 1 species